rnacentral:rRNA from 1 species
CAUUCAAAUUUCUGCCCUAUCAACUUUUGAUGGUAGGAUAGAGGCCUACCAUGGUAACAGGUAACGGGGUGUUAGGGCACGACACCGGAGAGGGAGCCUGAGAAACGGCUACCACAUCCAAGGAUGGCAGCAGGCGCGCAAAUUACCCAAUCCCGAUACGGGGAGGUAGUGACAAUAAAUAACAAUACGGGGCUCUUUUGGGUCUCGUAAUUGGAAUGAGUACAAUUUAAAUCUCUUAACGAGGAACAAUUGGAGGGCAAGUCUGGUGCCAGCAGCCGCGGUAAUUCCAGCUCCAAUAGUGUAUAUUAAAGUUGUUGCAGUUAAAAAGCUCGUAGUUGAAUUUCGGGGUCAGCAGGUUGGUCGUGCCACUGGUAUGCACUGGUUUCGCUGAUUCCUCCUUUCUGAAGAACUGUAAUGCCAUUAAUUUGAUGUUGCAGGGAAACAGGGCUGUUACUUUGAAAAAAUUAGAGUGUUUAAAGCAGGCUGACGCUUGAAUACAUUAGCAUGGAAUAAUGAAAUAGGACGUUUGAUCCUAGGUUGUUGGUUUCUAGGAUUGACGUAAUGAUUAAUAGGGAUAGUUGGGGGCAUUAGUAUUCAAUUGUCAGAGGUGAAAUUCUUGGAUUUAUUGAAGACUAACUACUGCGAAAGCAUUUGCCAAGGAUGUUUUCAUUAAUCAAGAACGAAAGUUAGGGGAUCAAAGACGAUCAGAUACCAUCGUAGUCUUAACCAUAAACUAUGCCGACUAGGGAUCGGAUGAUGUUAAUUUUUUAAUGACUCAUUCGGCGCCUUACGGGAAACCAAAGUGUUUGGGUUCCGGGGGGAGUAUGGUCGCAAGGCUGAAACUUAAAGGAAUUGAUGGAAGGGCACCACCAGGGGUGGAGCCUGCGGCUUAAUUUGACUCAACACGGGAAACUCACCAGGUCCAGACAUAGUAAGGAUUGACAGAUUGAGAGCUCUUUCUUGAUUCUAUGGGUGGUGGUGCAUGGCUGUUCUUAGUUGGUGGAGUGAUUUGUCUGGUUAAUUCCGUUAACGAACGAGACCUUAACCUGCUAAAUAGCUAGGCCUAACAUUGUUA